rnacentral:rRNA from 1 species
GAGGAAGGCGGGGAUGACGUCAAGUCCGCAUGGCCCUGAGCCUNGGGGCGACACACACGCUACAAUGGCCGUCACAGUGCGUUGCGACUCCGCAAGGGAGUGCUAAUGCGCAAAGGCGGUCUCAGUGCAGAUGGGGGC